GACGAACGCUGGCGGCGUGCUUAACACAUGCAAGUCGAACGAAGUGGCGAACGGGUGAGUAACGUGUAAUCAACCUGCCCUUCAGAGGGGGACAACAGUGGGAAAAGACUGCUAAUCCCGCAUACUGAAGGAGGGGAGUGAGUCUGAUUGGCUAGGUGGCGGGGCAACGGCCCACCAAGGCGAUGAUCAGUAGCCGGUCUGAGAGGGUUACCGGCCACAUUGGGACUUGGACACGGCCCAGACUCCUACGGGAGGCAGCAGUGGGGAAUCUUCCGCAAUGGACGGAAGUCUGACUGAGCCACGCCGCGUGAGUGAUGACGGCCUUCGGGUUGUAAAGCUCUGUUGAUCGGGACGCGUUACCGGAAUAGAAAGCCACGGCUAACUACGUGCCAGCAGCCGCGGUAAUUC
rnacentral:rRNA from 1 species